rnacentral:misc_RNA from 2 species
UGAGUGGUGUUUGGUUUGUUACGGGUGGUUGGCUCUUUGCUUGCGCAACAACUUCUACCUGGCAUACCUCUUCAGUCUUGUGUCAAUGCUUGUAUUGCAUUGAAUGCACGGUGGGUUUCUUGUGUUGCAUGCCUAAUUUAAUGGUAUUGCUUGAUGUAUUGGUUUUCCUUUCGUUUUGCAUUGCCUAUGUGAUGUGAGAUGAACCUUGAAGCAGCCUUUGUGAUCCACUGAUUUGAUGUAUAUGCAUUGAUUUUGUGGCCCAUUGAGUGUUGCUCGGUCUCAUGGAUAUGGAACCUGGUGUGGGCAUGGAAUCUUAAUGGUUCCUUGUUUGCCCAAGUUUAGCUUUUCUAAAACGAUUGUCUAUCAUGUGUUAACAUGCUAGACUACUUCGAAUAUGAAUGC